GACGAACGGAGCGAGCGUUAUUCGGAAUCACUGGGCUUAAAGAGCUCGUAGGCGGAUUAUCAAGCGCUUUGUGAGAGCCCUCGGCUCAACCGAGGAAUAGCUUGGCGAACUGAUAGUCUUGAGGCAGGUAGAGGCAACUGGAACUCAUGGUGGAGCGGUGGAAUGCGUAGAUAUCAUGAGGAACGCCAGAGGCGAAAGCGAGUUGCUGGGCCUGUCCUGACGCUGAGGAGCGAAAGCGUGGGGAGCAAACGGG
rnacentral:rRNA from 1 species